rnacentral:rRNA from 1 species
UACGUAGGGGGCGAGCGUUGUCCGGAUUUAUUGGGCGUAAAGAGCGUGUAGGCGGCCAGGUAGGUCUGCUGUGAAAACUCGAGGCUCAACCUCGAGACGUCGGUUGAAACCAUCUGGCUAGAGUCCGGAAGAGGAGUGUGGAAUUCCCGGUGUAGCGGUGAAAUGCGCAGAUAUCGGGAAGAACACCCGCGGCGAAGGCGGCGCUCUGGGCCGGUACUGACGCUGAGGAGCGAAAGCCGUGGGGAGCAAACAGG